ensembl:lncRNA
AUGCAAUCUAUUUUAUGGAUGACCACCUCAGUACCAAAGGCAGUGCAGUCUCUGCAAGCCUUCAGCAUAGUCUUCAGGGCUUCCCGAGGUGCUCACAGGAGCUCCGGCACAUUUUACCUUUGUUCUUUUCUAGCUCCUGCCCACCUGCCCUGCCAAUGCUGUCUCCCCAACCCCCAGCCAAGCUCGUGUGGCUUCCAGGUGUCUAGAGACCUGACGCCCACUGCAGUGGCUGAUUCCAGAAAGGCCACGGCUGUGCAACAGGAAUACCGUGCUACAACUGCCUCCCCGCCGCCUCCUUCUCCUCCUUCUGAGAACGUGUGUGUGUGUGGGCGCCGCAUCCGACACAGAGAGAACAAGCUGAAGACUUUCCAGAUUUUGGCUUUUCUGCCGUCCACUCUCACCUAAAAAAUCUUAGAUAAAAAUUUUCUGCUGGUCACUAUGGAAAUACAGACAACGGGUAAGUAAAGUCUUGUCUUUAUGGUUGACCCUUGAACAUGGAGUUAGGGGCGCCAAUUCUCUGAGAGUCAAAAAUCCCCUAUAACUAUAGAGUGAGGCCAUACUAUCCAUGGUUCCGCAUCUGCGUAUUCAACCAACCACAGAUCAAGUAGUACUGCAAGAGGUAUUUAGGGAAAGAUCUGGCUUAUAAAUGAAUCUGUUCAAACCCAAGUUGUUCAAAGGUCUACCGUAUUUCUGGUUUUCAUUUAUUUAUUUAUUUGGCUGCCCUGGGUCUUAGUUGUGGUGUGUGGGAUCUAGUUCCCUGAUCAGAGAUCGGACCCAGGCCCCCUGCUUUGGGAGCUCAGAGUCUUAGCCACUGGACAACCAGGGAAGUUCCUGGUUUUCCUUUUUUAAGAUGCUAUCCUGGGAAUCUCUUAUCACUCCAUUCUUAACUACUUUCUCCAACUCUUGGCGUGGGAACUCACAGUAAGAGGGGCUGGCAAAGGAGUCUUCCACCUUAAUGUCCCCCCCUCCAUCUAAUCUAAUUAAAUAAUUCUGUUACAUGAUUACAGUAACAAAAGGCACUAAGGAUUCGUUUUGUUUUUCUUUUUUCGGCUAUGCCACACAGCUUGCAGGAUCUUAGUUCCCUGACCAGUGAUCAAAACUGUGCCCCCCUGCAGUGGAAGUACAGAGUCCUAAACAGUGGGCUGCCAAGGAAUUCCCAGCAGACAUCUAUUAUAUUUUGGGAAUUUGGAAAAAUAUACUCUCUCUGGAGGGUCAGAAUAUACUGAGGCCGGGAAACCAGUGUGGUCCUGGUGAGCACAUCUUUUUUGUACGACUGUGUGCAAGUAUGUUCAGCAGCUCAGUUGUGUCCAACUCUUUUUAACUCUAAGGACUGUAGCCCACCAGGCUCCUCUGUCCAUGGGAUUCUCCAGGCAAGAAUACUGGAAUGGCUUGCCAUGCCCUCCUUCAGGGGAUCUUCCAGACCCAGGGAUCCAACCUGCGUCUCCUGCAUUGCAGGUGGAUUCUUUACCCACUGAGUCACCUGGGAAGCCCUCUGAGUGCUUGGGAUGACGUGAAAGACAACAGCAGUGGACAGCCACCCUAGAAACCUACCAGUUGCUCCCAGGCCUGUGAUCCUGUUUAUAAAGAACUGCAGGUAUAAGAAAGGCAGUAACUGAGAAUGCUCAAAAACUGCACACUUUUAACAGAUAAGAAUCUGGAGACAUGAGUUGAGGAGUAGAAAUAUCUUGCCUCAGGGCCAAGGAGCCCCUCAAUGGUUUCUGUCUUUCCUGGGGGAUCAAGAAAUGUACGGCUUCAGCCAGCAACACUCUCACCAGAGUAAGUGUGUGUGCGUGCUCAGUUGUGAAGCCGGUUGCCAUUUCCUGCUCUGGGGAUCUUCCGACCCAGUGAUCAAACCCU